rnacentral:rRNA from 1 species
AGCGAACGCUGGCGGCAGGCCUAACACAUGCAAGUCGAACGAACCUUUCGGGGUUAGUGGCGGACGGGUGAGUAACACGUGGGAACGUGCCUUUAGGUUCGGAAUAACUCAGGGAAACUUGUGCUAAUACCGAAUGUGCCCUUCGGGGGAAAGAUUAAUCGCCUUUAGAGCGGCCCGCGUCUGAUUAGCUAGUUGGUUGAGGUAAUGGCUCACCGAGGCGACGAUCAGUAGCUGGUCUGAGAGGAUGAUCAGCCACAUUGGGACUGAGACACGGCCCAAACUCCUACGGGAAGCAGCAGUGGGGAAUCUUGCGCAAUGGGCGAAAGCCUGACGCAGCCAUGCCGCGUGAAUGAUGAAGGUCUUAGGAUUGUAAAAUUCUUUCACCGGGGACGAUAAUGACGGUACCCGGAGAAGAAGCCCCGGCUAACUUCGUG